rnacentral:rRNA from 1 species
GACGAACGCUGGCGGCGUGCCUAACACAUGCAAGUCGAGCGGGGUUGUAUGGAGUAGCUUGCUACACUGUACAAUCUAGCGGCGGACGGGUGAGUAACGCGUGAGCAACCAACCUUGUACAGGGGGAUAACACGUGGAAACACGUGCUAAUACCGCAUAAGACUACGGUACUGCAUGGUACAGUAGUAAAAGGAGGUAAACUCCGGUACGAGACGGGCUCGCGUCCCAUUAGCUGGUUGGUGGGGUAACGGCCCACCAAGGCGACGAUGGGUAGCCGGCCUGAGAGGGUGUCCGGCCACACUGGGACUGAGACACGGCCCAGACUCCUACGGGAGGCAGCAGUAAGGAAUAUUGGGCAAUGGUCGAAAGACUGACCCAGCGACGCCGCGUGGAGGAAGGAGCCCUUCGGGGUGUAAACUCCUGUUGUAAGGGAAGAAGACAGUGACGGUACCUUACGAGGAAGCCCCGGCAAACUACGUGCCAGCAGCCGCGGUAAGAUCACGUGUA